GUGCCAGCCGCCGCGGUAAUACGGAGGGUGCAAGCGUUGUUCGGAAUCACUGGGCGUAAAGGGCGUGUAGGCGGUCCGCUAAGUCUGAUGUGAAAGCCCGGGGCUCACCCCCGGAAGGGCAUUGGAAACUGGCGGACUCGAGUCUCGGAGAGGAAGGUGGAAUUCCUGGUGUAGCGGUGAAAUGCGUAGAUAUCAGGAGGAAUACCGGUGGCGAAGGCGGCCUUCUGGACGAUGACUGACGCUGAGACGCGAAAGCGUGGGGAGCAAACAGGAUUAGAUACCCUGGUAGUCCACGCUGUAAACGAUGAGCACUAGGUGUCGUGGGUAUUGACCCCCGCGGUGCCGACGCUAACGCAUUAAGUGCUCCGCCUGGGGACUACGGCCGCAAGGUUAAA
rnacentral:rRNA from 1 species